rnacentral:rRNA from 1 species
GACGAACGCUGGCGGCGUGCCUAAUACAUGCAAGUUGAGCGCUGAAGGUUGGUACUUGUACCAACUGGAUGAGCAGCGAACGGGUGAGUAACGCGUGGGGAAUCUGCCUUUGAGCGGGGGACAACAUUUGGAAACGAAUGCUAAUACCGCAUAAAAACUUUAAACACAAGUUUUAAGUUUGAAAGAUGCAAUUGCAUCACUCAAAGAUGAUCCCGCGUUGUAUUAGCUAGUUGGUGAGGUAAAGGCUCACCAAGGCGAUGAUACAUAGCCGACCUGAGAGGGUGAUCGGCCACAUUGGGACUGAGACACGGCCCAAACUCCUACGGGAAGCAGCAGGAGGGAAUCUUCGGCAAGGGACGAAAGUCUGACCGAGCAACGCCGCGUGAGUGAAGAAGGGUGUCGGAUCGUAAAACUCUGUUGGUAGAGAAGAACGUUGGUGAGAGUGGAAAGCUCAUCAAGUGACGGUAACUACCCAGAAAGGGACGGCUAACUACGUG